rnacentral:rRNA from 1 species
AGCGAACGCUGGCGGCAGGCCUAACACAUGCAAGUCGAACGAACAUUUCGGGGUUAGUGGCGGACGGGUGAGUACCAACUGGGAACGUGCCUUUAGGUUAGCUAUAACUGAGGGUAACAUAUCCUAAUACAACUUGUGCUAUUCGGGGGAAAGAGUUGUCGCCGUUAGAGCGGCCUGCGACUGAUUCGCUAGUUGGGUGUGGACAUGGCUCACCACGGCUACGAUCAGUAGCUGGUCGGGGAGCAUGAUCAGUCACAUUGGAGCUAAGACACGGCCCAAACUCCUACGGAACGCAGCAGUGUAGAAUCUAGCGCGAGGGAGGAUGGCCCGACGCAGCCAUGCCGCGUGAAUGAGGAAUGUCUUAGGAUUGUGAAAUUCUUUCACCGGGGACGUUAAUGACGGUACCCGGAGAAGAAGCCCCGGCUAACUUCGUG